rnacentral:tRNA from 1 species
AUUCAUUUAGUAUAAAUAUAGUACCUUUGACUUCCAAUCAAAAAGCUUGGAAUCCAAAAUGAAUA